UACAGAGGUCUCAAGCGUUGUUCGGAUUCAUUGGGCGUAAAGGGUGCGUAGGUGGCGCGCUAAGUCAGGUGUGAAAUUUCGGAGCUUAACUCCGAAACUGCAUUUGAUACUGGCGUGCUAGAGGACUGGAGAGGAGACUGGAAUUUACGGUGUAGCGGUGAAAUGCGUAGAUAUCGUAAGGAAGACCAGUGGCGAAGGCGGGUCUCUGGACAGUUCCUGACGCUGAGGCACGAAGGCCAGGGGAGCAAACGGG
rnacentral:rRNA from 1 species